rnacentral:rRNA from 1 species
GACGAACGCUGGCGGCGUGCUUAACACAUGCAAGUCGAACGGAAAGGCCCUGCUUUUGUGGGGUGCUCGAGUGGCGAACUGGUUAGUAACACGUGAGUAACCUGCCCUUGACUUUGGUAUAACUUCAGGAAACUGGGGCUAAUACCGGAUAUGAGCUCCUGCUGCAUGGUGGGGGUUGGAAAGUUUCGGCGGUUGGGGAUGGACUCGCGGCUUAUCAGCUUGUUGGUGGGGUAGUGGCUUACCAAGGCUUUGACGGGUAGCCGGCCUGAGAGGGUGACCGGCCACAUUGGGACUGAGAUACGGCCAAGACUCCUACGGGAGGCAGCAGUGGGGAAUAUUGCACAAUGGGAGGAAGCCUGAUGCAGCAACGCCGCGUGCGGGAUGACGGCCUUCGGGUUGUAAACCGCUUUCGCCUGUGACGAAGCGUGAGUGACGGUAAUGGGUAAAGAAGCACCGGCUAACUACGUG